UGGACAGUUUACGAGAGGUGGCUCAUCCUUC
rnacentral:piRNA from 1 species